GUCGUGAGAUGUUCAGUUAAGUCCGGCAUUGAGCGCAACCCACAUCGGGAGUUGCCAGCAGUUUGGCGGGGCACUCUAGGGAAAAGGUGGGGUGAUAAGCGGGAUGAUGGUGUGCAUGACGUCAAGUCCUACAGGCCUGUUCCAGUNGGGCUACACACGNGCUGCAAAGGCAUGAACAGUGAGUAAAUCUACAAAAGAUGUCUCAGUUCGGAUUGGGGUCUGCAACUCGACCUCCAGAAGUCGGAAUCGCUGUAUG
rnacentral:rRNA from 1 species